rnacentral:rRNA from 1 species
UACGUAGGGUGCGAGCGUUAAUCGGAAUUACUGGGCGUAAAGCGUGCGCAGGCGGCUUUGCAAGACAGAUGUGAAAUCCCCGGGCUUAACCUGGGAACUGCAUUUGUGACUGCAUGGCUGGAGUGCGGCAGAGGGGGAUGGAAUUCCGCGUGUAGCAGUGAAAUGCGUAGAUAUGCGGAGGAACACCGAUGGCGAAGGCAGCCCCCUGGGCUGAGAUUGACGCUCAGGCACGAAAGCGUGGGGAGCAAACAGG